AUACGAAGGGGGCUAGCGUUGUUCGGAAUCACUGGGCGUAAAGCGCGCGUAGGUGGAUCAAUUAGUUGAGGGUGAAAUCCCGGGGCUCAACCUCGGAACUGCCUUCAAUACUGUUGAUCUUGAGACCGAGAGAGGUGAGUGGAAUUCCUAGUGUAGAGGUGAAAUUCGUAGAUAUUAGGAAGAACACCAGUGGCGAAGGCGGCUCACUGGCUCGGUACUGACGCUGAGGUGCGAAAGCGUGGGGAGCAAACAGGAUUAGAUACCCUAGUAGUUC
rnacentral:rRNA from 1 species